rnacentral:rRNA from 1 species
CCUACGGGGGGCAGCAGUGGGGAAUAUUGCACAAUGGGCGCAAGCCUGAUGCAGCAACGCCGCGUGAACGAUGAAGGUCUUCGGAUCGUAAAGUUCUGUUGCAGGGGAAGAUAAUGACGGUACCCUGUGAGGAAGCCCCGGCUAACUACGUGCCAGCAGCCGCGGUAAUACGUAGGGGGCUAGCGUUAUCCGGAUUUACUGGGCGUAAAGGGUGCGUAGGUGGUCUUUCAAGUCGGUGGUUAAAGGCUACGGCUCAACCGUAGUUAGCCUCCGAA